rnacentral:rRNA from 1 species
GACGAACGCUGGCGGCGUGCCUAAUACAUGCAAGUAGAACGCUGAAGGAGGAGCUUGCUUCUCUGGAUGAGUUGCGAACGGGUGAGUAACGCGUAGGUAACCUGCCUGGUAGCGGGGGAUAACUAUUGGAAACGAUAGCUAAUACCGCAUAAGAGUAGAUGUUGCAUGACAUUUGCUUAAAAGGUGCAAUUGCAUCACUACCAGAUGGACCUGCGUUGUAUUAGCUAGUUGGUGGGGUAACGGCUCACCAAGGCGACGAUACAUAGCCGACCUGAGAGGGUGAUCGGCCACACGGGGACUGAGACACGGCCCAGACUCCUACGGGAGGCAGCAGUGGGGAAUCUUCGGAAAUGGACGGAAGUCUGACCGAGCAACGCCGCGUGAGUGAUGAAGGUUUUCGGAUCGUAAAGCUCUGUUGUAAGAGAAGAACGAGGGUGAGAGUGGAAAGUUCACACUGUAACGGUAUCUAACCAGAAAGGACGGCUAACUACGUG